rnacentral:rRNA from 1 species
GACGAACGCUGGCGGCGUGCUUAACACAUGCAAGUCGAACGGAAAGGCCCUGCUUUUGUGGGGUGCUCGAGUGGCGAACGGGUGAGUAACACGUGAGUAACCUGCCCUUGACUUUGGGAUAACUUCAGGAAACUGGGGCUAAUACCGGAUAGGAGCUCCUGCUGCAUGGUGGGGGUUGGAAAGUUUCGGCGGUUGGGGAUGGACUCGCGGCUUAUGAGCUUGUUGGUGGGGUAGUGGCUUACCAAGGCUUUGACGGGUAGCCGGCCUGAGAGGGUGACCGGCCACAUUGGGACUGAGAUACGGCCCAGACUCCUACGGGAGGCAGCAGUGGGGAAUAUUGCACAAUGGGCGGAAGCCUGAUGCAGCAACGCCGCGUGUGGGAUGACGGCCUUCGGGUUGUAAACCGCUUUCGCCUGUGACGAAGCGUGAGUGACGGUAAUGGGUAAAGAAGCACCGGCUAACUACGUG